rnacentral:tRNA from 1 species
GCCUGGGUGGCUCAGUCGGUUAAGCGUCCGACUUCAGCUCAGGUCAUGAUCUCGCGGUCCGUGGGUUCAAGCCCCGCGUCAGGCU